CUGUAUCCAGGCUAGCUUAAAAAUGCAGACAUGUUGCCAGCUGACUAGUAAGACGUUCUUCUUUCAACCUUGUUUUAAGAGGCCCCUGGUUUCUUGGAAGUGGGGGAGUGCAGCACUGAGGAGCAACGGGAAGAUGUUCUACACAUGGAGCAUGGGCAGAUGCAGCUGCUCUAGGAUCCUCUGGGCAUCUGUUUUCAUUAAAACUUCACUUGUGCAUUUGACCUAUCAGCUGGAUUCAGCAUAUGUCACUGGUAAAGGGCCAUGCCAUCCCAGUGAAGUGCAAGUGGAGAGAGAGAAGUGAGCUGUAGAAGAGACAAGAGCCUCAUGAUCUGCACUUGUCUGAUGCAGGAACAAGUACAGAGGAUGGAUAGAGUCAGAGCUUGAACACUGAAAAUAACGAACAACAUUUACAUGAAACACUAGCUGCCACUAGCUUCACAUUCAUCUAUCAGGUGACCAAAAUCUCAAUCUGAAUUUUUAGUCUGAGCUUCUAUCUUUCUGUGGUCUCUUUACAACAAUUGCAUCCUCUUCCUUUCUGUGGCCUUCAGAUCAGUCUUUGCAACUUCUAAGUGGCGGACGAAGGAAAUCCCUAUUGCUUGAAACAGCUCUACCUGUCUAUAUGAACUUGCCACAUGGUUUCCUAAAAUACAAACUGACAAGGCCAUUUGUCUAUGAAAUGCUGCCUAAGUUGGUUUCAGAACUGGAGUGAUGAAGCCUGGUCCUAAUAGCUGUUUUCUCUUCCUUGUUGCCUUGUGUGUCAAGGAGUGUUAGCAGAGCCCUUCCCCAAAGCACAGCUAUGAAAUGAAGUACAAUGGAAUAUUCCUUGAGAAUUCUACUCAGAUGUGAAAAGAAUAAGAGUAUUUUUAAAAACAGAUUUUAAGUUAAGUGGUUUGGCCUGAAAAGGUCAAAUAUGAAGAAGUGAUACUUUUGCUUUAUGUAAAAACUCAAUCACUUCUUUAAUACAUACAGCAUCAAAGUGGUUUAGUUGAACUAUGUUAAAUUACAAUUCUGUUCUUUUCUUGAUUAUAUUCAGAGUUACAAACUUGAGAUCUAUUGUUAAAUAGGGAUAUUUUUCACUGUUCAGGUAUGAAUAUUUAACAGUGCUAAAUUUCUAGGUAUACAGAUAAGCUAAUUUGAAAUUUUAAAUGAAUUAAAUGUUCAAUUUCUGAAAUGAUUUGUGAAGUCUUGCUUGAUUCUUGAGUGCUUCCAGGUGCUUCAA